CUGGCGGCGUGCUUAACACAUGCAAGUCGAACGAAGAUACUUAAAAUGAGAGCUUCGGCAGGAUUUUUAUUUAUCUUAGUGGCGGACGGGUGAGUAACGUGUGGGCAACCUGCCCUAUACUGGGGAAUAAUCACUGGAAACGGUGACUAAUACCGCAUGUCAUUACGGAAGGGCAUCCUUCUGUAAGAAAAGGAGUAAUUCGGUAUAGGAUGGGCCCGCAUCUGAUUAGCUAGUUGGUGAGAUAACAGCCCACCAAGGCGACGAUCAGUAGCCGACCUGAGAGGGUGAUCGGCCACAUUGGGACUGAGACACGGCCCAAACUCCUACGGGAGGCAGCAGUGGGGAAUAUUGCACAAUGGGGGAAACCCUGAUGCAGCAACGCCGCGUGAAGGAAGAAGGUUUUCGGAUCGUAAACUUCUAUCAACAGGGACGAAGAAAGUGACGGUACCUGAAUAAGAAGCCCCGGCUAACUACGUGCCAGCAGCCGCGGUAAUACGUAGGGGGCAAGCGUUAUCCGGAAUUACUGGGUGUAAAGGGAGCGUAGGCGGCACGCCAAGCCAGAUGUGAAAGCCCGAGGCUUAACCUCGCGGAUUGCAUUUGGAACUGGCGAGCUAGAGUACAGGAGAGGAAAGCGGAAUUCCUAGUGUAGCGGUGAAAUGCGUAGAUAUUAGGAAGAACACCAGUGGCGAAGGCGGCUUUCUGGACUGAAACUGACGCUGAGGCUCGAAAGCGUGGGGAGCAAACAGGAUUAGAUACCCUGGUAG
rnacentral:rRNA from 1 species